CCUACGGGGGGCAGCAGUGAGGAAUAUUGGUCAAUGGGCGCGAGCCUGAACCAGCCAAGUCGCGUGAGGGAGGACGGCCCUACGGGUUGUAAACCUCUUUUGCCGGGGAGCAACGGGCGUCACGUGUGGCGCCACUGAGAGUGCCCGGAGAAAAAGCAUCGGCUAACUCCGUGCCAGCAGCCGCGGUAAUACGGAGGAUGCGCGCGUUAUACGGAUUUAUUGGGUUUAAGGGGGGCGUAGGCGGAUCGUUAAGUCAGUGGUCAAAUUGAGGGGCUCAACCCCUUCCCGCCAUUGAAACUGGCGUUCUUGAGUGGAAGAGAAGUAUGCGGAAUGCGUGGUGUAGCGGUGAAAUGCAUAGAUAUCACGCAGAACCCCGAUUGCGAAGGCAGCAUGCCGGCUUCCGACUGACGCUGAAGCACGAAAGCGUGGGGAUCGAACAGGAUUAGAUACCCGAGUAGUC
rnacentral:rRNA from 1 species